rnacentral:rRNA from 1 species
GAUGAACGCUGGCGGCGUGCCUAAUACAUGCAAGUCGAGCGAACGGACGAGAAGCUUGCUUCUCUGAUGUUAGCGGCGGACGGGUGAGUAACACGUGGAUAACCUACCUAUAAGACUGGGAUAACUUCGGGAAACCGGAGCUAAUACCGGAUAAUAUUUUGAACCGCAUGGUUCAAAAGUGAAAGACGGUCUUGCUGUCACUUAUAGAUGGAUCCGCGCUGCAUUAGCUAGUUGGUAAGGUAACGGCUUACCAAGGCAACGAUGCAUAGCCGACCUGAGAGGGUGAUCGGCCACACUGGAACUGAGACACGGUCCAGACUCUUACGGGAGGCAGCAGUAGGGAAUCUUCCGCAAUGGGCGAAAGCCUGACGGAGCAACGCCGCGUGAGUGAUGAAGGUCUUCGGAUCGUAAAACUCUGUUAUUAGGGAAGAACAUAUGUGUAAGUAACUGUGCACAUCUUGACGGUACCUAAGCAGAAAGCCACGGCUAACUACGU